AGGCCCUUCGGGGUACUCGAGUGGCGAACGGGUGAGUAACACGUGGGUGAUCUGCCCUGCACUUUGGGAUAAGCCUGGGAAACUGGGUCUAAUACCGAAUAUGACCAUGCACUUCCUGGUGUGUGGUGGAAAGCUUUUGCGGUGUGGGAUGGGCCCGCGGCCUAUCAGCUUGUUGGUGGGGUAAUGGCCUACCAAGGCGACGACGGGUAGCCGGCCUGAGAGGGUGACCGGCCACACUGGGACUGAGAUACGGCCCAGACUCCUACGGGAGGCAGCAGUGGGGAAUAUUGCACAAUGGGCGCAAGCCUGAUGCAGCGACGCCGCGUGAGGGAUGACGGCCUUCGGGUUGUAAACCUCUUUCAGCACAGACGAAGCGCAAGUGACGGUAUGUGCAGAAGAAGGACCGGCCAACUACGUGCCAGCAGCCGCGGUAAUACGUAGGGUCCGAGCGUUGUCCGGAAUUACUGGGCGUAAAGAGCUCGUAGGUGGUUUGUCGCGUUGUUCGUGAAAACUCACAGCUUAACUGUGGGCGUGCGGGCGAUACGGGCAGACUUGAGUACUGCAGGGGAGACUGGAAUUCCUGGUGUAGCGGUGGAAUGCGCAGAUAUUCAGGAGGAACACCGGUGGCGAAGGCGGGUCUCUGGGCAGUAACUGACGCUGAGGAGCGAAAGCGUGGGGAGCGAACAGGAUUAGAUACCCUGGUAGUCCACGCCGUAAACGGUGGGUACUAGGUGUGGGUUUCCUUCCUUGGGAUCCGUGCCGUAGCUAACGCAUUAAGUACCCCGCCUGGGGAGUACGGCCGCAAGGCUAAAACUCAAAGAAAUUGACGGGGGCCCGCACAAGCGGCGGA
rnacentral:rRNA from 1 species